rnacentral:rRNA from 1 species
UCUUCGGCAAUGGGCGCAAGCCUGACCGAGCGACGCCGCGUGCGGGAUGAAGGCCUUCGGGUUGUAAACCGCUGUCGUAGAGGAGGAAAUGCAGGGGGGUUCUCCCCUCUGUUUGACCUAUUCUAGGAGGAAGUACGGGCUAAGUUCGUGCCAGCAGCCGCGGUAAGACGAACCGUACAAACGUUACUCGGAAUUACUGGGCUUAAAGGGUGCGUAGGCUGCGCGGAAAGUCGGGUGUGAAAGCCCUCAGCUCAACUGGGGAAUUGCACUCGAAACUACCGUGCUCGAGGGAGACAGAGGUGAGCGGAACUCAAGGUGGAGCGGUGAAAUGCGUUGAUAUCUUGAGGAACACCGGUGGCGAAGGCGGCUCACUGGGUCUCUUCUGACGCUGAGGCACGAAAGCCAAGGUAGCAAACGGGGUUAGAUACCCCGGUAGUCUUGGCUGUAAACGAUGAGCACUUGUUUGAAGGGUCCUCCAUAGCCUUUCAGACGUAGCGAAAGUGUUAAGUGCUCCGCCUGGGGA